rnacentral:rRNA from 1 species
UACGUAGGUGGCAAGCGUUGUCCGGAUUUAUUGGGUUUAAAGGGUGCGUAGGCGGUCUAUUAAGUCAGUGCUGAAAUAUCCCGGCUUAACCGGGAGGGUGGCAUUGAUACUGAUGGACUUGAGUGCAGUCGAGGUAGGCGGAAUUGACGGUGUAGCGGUGAAAUGCUUAGAUAUCGUCAAGAACACCGAUAGGGAAGGCAGCUUACUAGACUGGAACUGACGCUGAGGCACGAAAGUGUGGGGAUCAAACAGG